CCUGAUAGAAUCCAUUCAGACACCAGGCACCUGCCACUCGGCCCUGGGCUGCUGGCUCACCCAGGUCAUUGUAUUAACCUGGCAACAAGCACCCCUGCAAUUUAUGUGACUGAAUUUUUUGGACGACACUUAGAGUAUGAAAGUAGGGUUUACUUUAUAUUUUAAAACCAUAAAAAUGUUUAUUUACAGCUUAAUUUUCCUCUCUCUGUUAUUUGACAGUUUCUCUUAAAGAGAAGACGAAGCGAUCAGAACGCCUCCUCAGACCACUGUCUGUUGCUGAGCGAGCAGCACAGGAAACCAGCGAGCAUGGCCCUGGCACCCACCUUCUCCCCUAAGACCUGGUUCCGCUGUCUGCUUUGGUGACUUCCCACCUUUGAGCCUUCGGUGUGUGCACGUGGGUGCACACGGGCGCACACAGGGGUCUUCUUGUGCCACAGCAGGACCACAGAUCUCUUGAGAGGUGACCCACCACGACGUGAAGGGGGUUUUCUCAAUUCUUGCUUGGCUGGAGCCCCUGCAAGAUGGUGUGGAAAGACCUGCGGUGGCUUCCCAGAACACUCUCCACACACUCACCCUGCUCCAAGUCGAGCCCAGAGCAGACGACGUCUCAGACAGCCGCAGGCUGUGGGGAUGCGGAGACUAAGAGUAGUCCAUCUGAGGAAGACAAGGAACCACCUUCACAACUGUGACAAGACAGACAGAUCAGCACCCAGAACCCUGACGUCUCAGGCCAUGGUGCGACCUGCCGUCCUUCCACAGGACGGCUUCUGCCAGAACUACAACCAGAUGGCAGAGUUGACGGGUUUUUUAUUAGCUUUUUGAACCUCUUCCCUGAAUUGUGAUUUUUCUUCUUUCUCUCCAUUUACUUCCUUGAACCUCUCAAGGAGAGUGAUCAAAUUGCAGCCUUUCUUCUCCCAGUGAAAUCAAAAUGGCCUGUGAGAUGUUCAAAUUAUGGCCGAGAUUCUCUUUCUUUACCAAGUCAGCUGAAUGGAUGAGAAA
rnacentral:lncRNA from 1 species